GCUCCGGUGGCCUAGUGGUUAGAGCGUCCGCCUCGGAUGCAGGAGGUCGUGGGUUCGAUUCCCGGUCAAGUCGUACCA